rnacentral:rRNA from 1 species
GACUACAUGAAGCUGGAAUCGCUAGUAAUCGCGAAUCAGAAUGUCGCGGUGAAUACGUUCCCGGGUCUUGUACACACCGCCCGUCACACCAUGGGAGUCGGAAAUGCCCGAAGUCAGUGACCCAACCGCAAGGAGGGAGCUGCCGAAGGUGGAGCCGGUAACUGGGGUGAAGUCGUAACAAGGUAAC